rnacentral:rRNA from 1 species
UACGUAGGCAGCGAGCGUUGUUCGGAGUUACUGGGCGUAAAGGGUGUGUAGGCGGUUGUUUAAGUUUGGUGUGAAAUCUCCCGGCUCAACUGGGAGGGUGCGCCGAAUACUGAAUGACUAGAGUGCGGGAGAGGAGAGUGGAAUUCCUGGUGUAGCGGUGAAAUGCGUAGAUAUCGUAAGGAAGACCAGUGGCGAAGGCGGGUCUCUGGACAGUUCCUGACGCUGAGGCACGAAGGUCAGGGGAGCAAACGGG